ensembl:lncRNA
AUGGAUUUGACUAAAAUGGGUAUGAUCCAGCUCCAGAACCCCAAUCACCCCAAUGCCCUGCUGCACAAGGCUAAUCAGAUGCGCCUGGCCGGCACGCUGUGUGACGUGGUCAUCAUGGUGGACAGCCAGGAGUUCCACGCUCACCGGACCGUGCUGGCCUGCACCAGUAAGAUGUUUGAGAUCCUCUUUCACCGGAACAGCCAACAUUACACUCUCGACUUUCUCUCACCAAAGACCUUCCAGCAGAUUCUGGAGUAUGCCUACACUGCCAUGCUCCAAGCUAAAGUGGAGGAUCUGGAUGACCUGCUUUAUGCAGAGCAAUGCCUGAAGAUACUGGAGACCAUCCAGUCCUCGGAUGAAAAUGACACGGAGGUCAACAUGAACGACGGAGGCGCAGAAGACGAUGAGGAGCGCAAGGGACGGCAUGGCAGGAACCCGAAAAAGCAUUCCGUGGAGGAGGGCAGCUACAUGUCGGCUGCCCAGCAAGCACUGACGCUGCCAGGAAUGGUGGAUCAGAGUCCUUCUGUCUCCACCUCCUUCGGCCUCUCCACCAUGAGCCCAACGAAAGCAGCCGUGGACAGCCUGAUGAGCAUCGGCCAGUCCCUCCUGCAGAGAACCAUGCACCCCGGCGCGGGUGCCGAACAGCCCCUGCACGGCAACUCCCACCCCAUGAUGGGAGAGAUCAAGACGGAGAUGAUGCAAGUAGAUGAGAGCGGAGAACACGAGAACCCAAAAGCCAUGGAAUCCAGCGCCUCCAGCAACGGCGAGCGCAGCGGAGAACCUGACAAGAACCGCGAUGGGCCCGGCACCCCUACCAGGAGCAGCGUGAUCACUAGUGCCCGUGAACUGCACUACGUCAGGGAGGAAGGUGUGGGCGACCAGCAGGCGGAGGUCAACCAGAUGGGCCUGGAGGCCAUGGCAGGGAUGACCGAAAAGCACUUGGCGUCACUCUACGGCAUUCCUCCCAACCACAAGAACGAAGCAAUGCUCUCUAUGCCCGCUUCUAUGGCCUCAUCCUUGCACAUGUCCCCAGCAUUGGCCAUCUCGGCCGUGCCAGACGGGAGGCUUGUUUACCGCAGGAAGCUGCACAGCGGAAUGAAGACCUACGGAUGCGAGCUUUGUGGAAAACGCUUCCUAGACAGUCUGCGCCUAAGGAUGCACUUGCUGUCUCACUCAGCUGGUGAGAAAGCCAUCGUUUGUGACCAGUGUGGAGCUCAGUUUCAGAAGGAAGAUGCUCUUGAGGCCCACCGGCAGAUCCACACAGGAUCAGAUAUGGCCAUCUUCUGUUUGCUGUGCGGGAAGCGCUUCCAGACGCAGACAGCUCUGCAGCAGCACAUGGAGGUCCACGCAGGCGUGCGCAGCUACAUCUGCAGCGAGUGCAACCGCACAUUUCCCAGCCACACCGCACUCAAGCGCCAUCUCCGUUCGCAUACAGGUGACCAUCCAUUUGAGUGCGAGUUCUGCGGCAGCUGCUUCCGAGACGAGAGCACACUGAAGGGACACAAACGCAUCCACACCGGAGAGAAACCCUAUGAAUGUAACGGCUGCGGCAAGAGGUUCAGCCUCAAACACCAGCUAGAGACCCACUACCGUGUCCAUACAGGUGAGAAGCCGUUUGAGUGCAAGCUCUGCCACCAGCGCUCCAGGGACUACUCGGCCAUGAUCAAACACCUGCGUACCCACAACGGAGCCUCACCGUACCAGUGCACCAUCUGCCUGGAAUACUGCCCCAGCCUCUCCUCCAUGCAGAAGCACAUGAAGGGCCACAAGCCCGAAGACAUCCCCCCGGACUGGAGGAUAGAGAAGACUUACCUCUACCUCUGCUACGUCUGAAGGAGGGAGACGACGGGGAGGGAAGGGAGCAGGAGGGCGAGGGGUUUGAAGCGCCUGGAAACACAGUCAGGAAAUGGAUGGAUUUGUUGGUGGUGCUGGGCAAGGCGGACAGAAAUCUUACCCCGUCAGUAUAGCAAAACAUUAAAAAAAAGCAUCAUGUUAUAGCCGUAUAUGGGAAGUCCACUCUCUACAUGUCAGCUUACGUCCCAAACGUUAAAUAUGUCUUAUCAGUCAAACGACACACACUUCAACAACGAUUCCUCCUCUUCAUAAGGAUGCCCUCUUCUGGUACAAAAACAGUAGUGUGAACCAGACACAGUGUUUAUCUCUCAGAGAUGUGCAGGAAGCACUUAGACCCUUCAGUGGUAACGUGCCAGUCAGGUACUCCACAGCAAAUAUGAACAGUCAUGUUCAUCAGGGUCAUUACUGCAAACUGGAACGUAAGCUUCCUGCAAAACAUGUUCACGAUGCCCGGCUGACAGUCAGCAUGUAGAUCCCUCCCAUAUGAUUCACAUUCAUUAAGGGCUUAUUGGUUUAACCAGCGUACAAAUCAGCUAAGCUCUCAGUACUCUGCUCAUCAAUGUCAUUUAACUUUUUUUUUUCUCUCGGCAUAGCGCGUAUUACAAGCUGACUUCACGACGACAGUUUUUGUUUGAUGUUGAUUUCUCAAGCGCAACAUUUCGAGUUUAUUUCAAGCAGAAUAACACGCACACACUGUACAUGUUCAUGUUAUCUCCUCCUUCGCUUAUCAAGUCUGAAAUCGCUUAACCGUUCGAAACGAGUAACUUGGCAAUACAUACAGAACAUCCAUUACACACUAGAAAUCUAAUCAACUGUUUAUGCUGUUGUUAUAGAGACCAAAAUGAUGACUGAAGCUGCUUUAGUCAGUGGCUUGCAGACUGAGCGGCACUGUGACGUACAGGGCUCGUCCGCACAUAUCCGUGUGUUCGUAGGUGGUCAUGAGGCUUGGCCUGUCCAGCCGGGAACGCUGGGAUGAAUGAACAGAGCAGAUCAACUCUUUUGGUUUGGUUCCUUUCGCUUUGUUUGUGUUUCCUAUUAUACCUUGAUUUACUUCAGCACAUCGUACUUGAAUUACCUCGUUUUUUUGUGACCUCAUGUGCUAGUGUUUUCAUUUUUCCUUUGUUUCUUUAUAUAUUUGACUGUUUGCUUUGCGAGCAGGAGCGGCGUGUGCUUUUAUGUACUUACGAAAUUAAGUGCCAUGGUGAAGAGAGAUUGUCUUUCGUUCGAAGUUUGUUUUUCUUUGCAUUAAUCUUACCAAACUUGGUAUUAUGUUUUUGUUUUGUUUGUUUGUUUUGUUUUACUAACCCUGCUUGUUGAAGAGCUUGUGGGUUUGGUCAUUUUUGUUGUAAGCUACCUCUAAGUUUUGUUUCUUUUUGUUGUUUCGUUUGCGAAAGCACAUUUGUUGUGUUUUGCGUUAUUUCAACUUCAUCUCACGCUUUCAAGUGUUGUACGUCGGAAGCGACGAAUAUGAAAGGGUAGGAUUUGCUUAUAGGAAAGGCGAAUUGAAAAAAAUAAUCAGAACUUUCCCUAUCAGUCCCCCCCACCCCUGUAAAUUGUUACCUUAAGAGCAGAAAAGAGAUUUCUGAAGCCUUAAGUUCGGGGUCGGAGUUGAUCUGGGAGGUGCGUAUGGAACAAGUGAAGUGUAGUACUUUAAAGUCUGGAAAAAAAAAAAACGUUAAACUUGAAAAUAUGUGAAUAGAAUUGUAGUUUUGUAAUGUGAAAAAAGAAGGUUCACAGAGCGUGAGCCGCCAAGAACAGGUCAUAUGCAGCAGUGCAUUGUGCGUUGGACAAUUGGGACUGCAAGUGGUAAUCAAAGACGAAAGGAAGAAGAAAAAAAAAAAACGAAAAAUCCUGUCAGUUGACAUGUUUCUUUGUAUGAGUGUAGUCCUGAGCAAGAGCCAACAGAGGCCAUUUGAUAUAUAAAAUUGUGAUAUUUUUGUAUUAAGUGUCAGUCCCUUUUUUCCAUUUGUUGAGGUUGCAGCGGGGCAAAACUUUGUAGUUCUUUUUUUAUAUCAUUAUUCUCUCGUUUGAAUCGUUUGCCUUGCUCCUCUUCGGUAAUGUUGGACAGUGCGUGAUCCUAUAGUGGUAAAUGUUGCUUUCUGGAUGUCAAUACAUUGCAGGUGAAGGACUAAAUCAGCCACAUUCUCCUUUGUGAAAAUAACAACAAACAAACAAAACUAAAAAAGAUGUGAUGCCAAUGAUCAAUUCCAUUGCACACGAUAUCUCAGACAAAACAAUCAAUGUUGCCAACGUUUUGUUUUUUACUUGAAGUGACUAAAAAAGAAGGGAUGGGAAGACGCGUCAAAGGAAACGUUAAUUGUCGUGUGUCUUGCCGUUGUUUUCUGGAAAACACUGUGAGUUUGGGCAUACUUGCCCCCUGUGAGAAUUUAAAAACUAGUAGCGCCAUGAAAAAAAAAAGGCAGAAAUAUAUAUUUUGUUCUGUAAAUGGAUAAUGUCGACUGAUGUUAAAUGGGUAAAACAGAGUUUUGCAAUAUGUGGCAACAAUACGAGAUAUUAAGUCACAUGUUAGUGUACCUUUUUGAUUUUGUACUUUGCUUUGAGUGUUUUCACUGUGUGUGUGUGUGUGUGUGUGUGUGUGUGUGUGUGUGUGUGUGUGAGCACGUUAGUGUCAAAUGCACUAAUCUGAAGUCAUAUUCUAUGCCACUUUUCUCUCACCGUGAUUAAAAAAUAUUGGCAUCGAUAUAGUUCUUCCCUCAAUGUUCUUCUGAUGUUUCUGUAAUAUCUUUGUGCCUAAAUGAAAUUGUUCAACAAAUUGUCCACAUAUAUCUGCUUAGUUUCUGUAUUUUCAAGAAAAUUAUUGGUGUCUUCAGGGCUCCAGGGGUGCCAUGAUGAUCUCGGAUGGAUUCACUUGAGACGAUUUUUGUUACGUGAUGAUCAUUUGGUCUAUUUUCAGUGGUUCCACUGGCGACCGAUCAGUAUUGUAGUGUUUUAUACACAGCUCGACAAAGACAAGCCAAACAUUCCUUGGAUCGGAAUAAGAGCGUUUUUCACAAUGAAUAUUCUGCUUUGAGGGGGAAAAAUUGAUGUUUGAGAAUCAAACUUACUUUCAUUUCCUCAUUCUUUUUUUGCCUCAGCAACAGGUUUGCUGAUUAAACUUUUCAACCAUGUCCCUUUAACAUUCGGCAUUUGUACUGCCCCUACUAGACAUUUUUAUUUGUUGUUUAAAGUACUUAUGUUAUCAUUGCAUCCCUGGAGUUGGCUCACUGUGUUCCAGUGUGGUGUUCUAGAAAGAGUAGCCAUUUCAUGCUGUGUUGCCAUGCAUGUGCCAUUGAGGUCAAAACUAAACUGUUUGAGUAACAAAGCACCAAGACGUUGUCUUUUUUUUAUAUUAGCACUGAGGACCAAUUGCCCUGUCGGACCAAGCAUAACAAAGCUUUUUAUGUAACAAAGCAGUUUCUCUCUUCCCCCUCUCCUUCUCUGGCUUGUCUGUAUUUUUUUCCUCCCUUGUGACAGCACAAGUGCCAGUCCUGUUGCUCUUUAAGAAUAUAGUGUUUUGUUUCUGGGGAUUUUAUUUUUGUUUGUUCUAUUAUUAUUAUUUGAAUUGUUAUAGUUACGUCUACCUCAGCACCUAAUCUUAGCCUAAUCUUAGAAGGUGCCCAAUUAUUAUUAUUAUUUUUUUCAGUUUGUUGUCAAUUGUACAAAUUUUUAUUUGCAUUAGAGCUUUGCAACGGUCCUCUGUCUUUUCCAGCAACAUGCUAUUUUUUGUGGCACUACUUUCUGAAUGUUGUGCUACAGAUAUUGGCAUCAGUUUCCUGAUGUAGUCUUUCUUUCGGUGUAGGAUCAGACACAUCUCUUUGUAACAUUUCAGUGUUCUCUGAUGGAGUGUGAAAAAAAUAAAGAAUUUAAAGAGAUCGAACGCUGCA